rnacentral:lncRNA from 1 species
GCCGUGGUGCCGGUUUCGCUUAGUAGCUGAGUAGGCUUGAAUGGUCCUGUGUGCUGUGUUCUCUGUCCUGCCUCUGGAUGCUGUGGAGGGUGCUCAGGCAAGCUCCGAAGUUGCGACAUGGCUUUGGCAGUUCCAGAGUGCCUCUUGUUAGCAGAAAAAGUGCUUUCACUUUGAGAUGUCAGUGGCCCAGCUGGGCUCCUUUCGCUGCCCCAUGUGUCUUAUCAGGAGGCUCUGCCCUGAGCUGCUGGCAGUGAGUCUGCUCCAAGUUCCAUCGAGGGAGACAUCUGCCCACUUGGGGCUUCUCCUGCCCAAGGAUGCAUUGACCUAUGAUGAUGUGCAUGUGAACUUCACUCGAGAAGAAUGGGCUUUGCUGAAUCCUACACAGAGGAAUCUCUACAAAGUUGUGAUGUUGGAGAUCUACAGGAACCUCAAAGCUGUAGGAUACAAUUGGGAAGACCAAAACACUGAAGAACAUUGUCAAAGUUCCAGAAGACAUGGAAGGUAUAUCCUGUGUCACAAUGGAUACAAGCCAUGUGAGCAUAGGGAUAUUGAAAGAAGCAGAACCUUCUCUCUCUCUCAAAACAAUUAAAAUAUAUGUAAUAGUCCACAUUUGAGCAAACUUUGUGAUACAAGUUUAUAAUUAGUUGGCUCUCCAACUUCAGUGGGAAUAUAUCCAUAAACUCACUGCAGAAAAUCCCUAUCAAUACUAGGAUUGUGGAAAUUCUUUUAUGUUUGUCCUGGUUUAUUAUGUCAUUGUAGUAUAUUUCAUAAUAUAGGAAAAUUUAUGAAUAUACCCAGUGUGGUAAAGCUCUGAGCUCUUCUAUUUCUCUUGAAAUAUGUGAAAAACCUCAUAGAGAAAAAGGAUGUAAAAAAUCUUAAGAUGUGAGUUGUCUUUACAAUUAGACCAAAUUGUAAGAUUAAUUCCUACAGAUAAAAAGAAUCAUCAAUGUUGUGAA